rnacentral:snRNA from 1 species
GGGUGUGAGGGUGAUCUAGGUUUCUGUCAUUCAUUGAUCCAAGGUUGAUUCAGUUGAUCUGCCGGGGCAGGCAGGUGGUCCAUUCCUCUCUCACUUGUCUCUUUGGUCCCUCCUCAAGACCUUCCUGACACAGGAGAGAAGAAGAUUGCUUUUUGGUCAAGGCUAUAUGAGUAGUUGUACUCUUACUAGAACCUCCACACAAGCUCCCAGGGACCAUGCUUUUGGAACAGUGGACAGUCUUGCAUUUUCAGAGCUUAGCCAUGGGAUUGUUGUGAAGACUAAUAGAAACAU